AAUACCGCAUACGGUUCUUGGAAGGCAUCUUCUAAGAAAGAAAGGAUUUAUUCGGUAAAAGAUGGGCCCGCAUCUGAUUAGCUAGUUGGUGAGAUAAUAGCCCACCAAGGCAACGAUCAGUAGCCGACCUGAGAGGGUGACCGGCCACAUUGGGACUGAGACACGGCCCAAACUCCUACGGGAGGCAGCAGUGGGGAAUAUUGCACAAUGGGGGAAACCCUGAUGCAGCAACGCCGCGUGAAGGAAGACGGUUUUCGGAUUGUAAACUUCUAUCAAUAGGGAAGAAAGAAAUGACGGUACCUAAAUAAGAAGCCCCGGCUAACUACGUGCCAGCAGCCGCGGUAAUACGUAGGGGGCAAGCGUUAUCCGGAAUUACUGGGUGUAAAGGGAGAGUAGGCGGCAAGGUAAGCGAUAUGUGAAAGCCUUAAGCUUAACUAAAGGAUUGCAUAACGAACUAUCUAGCUAGAGUACAGGAGAGGAAAGCGGAAUUCCUAGUGUAGCGGUGAAAUGCGUAGAUAUUAGGAAGAACACCAGUGGCGAAGGCGGCUUUCUGGACUGAAACUGACGCUGAGGCUCGAAAGCGUGGGGAGCGAACAGGAUUAGAUACCCUGGUAGUCCACGCUGUAAACGAUGAGUGCUAGGUGUCGGGGAGGAAUUCCCGGUGCCGGAGC
rnacentral:rRNA from 1 species